ensembl:snoRNA
CCUCCUGUGAUGCGGUAUCUCAGUGACUUUCGUUCUUCUGAGCGUGCUGAAGCCAGAGAUUCAGUCUGAGAAGG